rnacentral:rRNA from 1 species
UACAGAGGUGGCAAGCGUUGUUCGGAAUUACUGGGCGUAAAGGGCGCGUAGGCGGCCUUCUAAGUCGAACGUGAAAUCCCCGGGCUCAACCCGGGAACUGCGUCCGAUACUGGAAGGCUUGAAUCCGGGAGAGGGAUGCGGAAUUCCAGGUGUAGCGGUGAAAUUCGUAGAUAUCGGGAGGAACACCAGUGGCGAAGGCGGCGAUCUGGGCUGAUACUGACGCUGAGGUGCGAAAGCGUGGGGAGCAAA